CCCUAAAAAUAACACUAAGCCGUACACCUCUCCUUCCCUCUCUACCAACCUGCCGGCCAGAUAUUCCGGCGACCAGAGCUGUAAUUCCGGCGCGCUGGUUCUCCGACAUGCACACCAAACCCUCACAACCCAUCCCCCAGUUAUAUCUUCUCUAAACCCACACACACAUCAGACAAAACUCUCGAACCAAACAUCUCCUUCUCGAUUAUUCUCCGACGAAGAUGGUGGUGCCAGUGGGAUGGGUAGCAAAACAAAGAACAAUGAUUUCUUUUGUGGAGACCUACCUGCUCUCCGGUGAUGUAAGGAAAUCGGGCUAUAGGCUGUGUUGCUGGCGGGACUCCGAAAUAACAUCGUGAAGGCUGUGGAACUCCCUGUACGCGGCAGCGGGGUUGUGGGGGUGGCUGCGGCUCGGGACCGACACGGUGACAUUAACAAAAGGGAUGGUGGUAGCGACCCUAGGUACUCAUGGAGCUUGCACGAGGAGGCGUGGACGUUGUGGGACAUGGACUGUUGAGUUCCAUGUUAAACUUAUGAACCUUUAA
rnacentral:lncRNA from 1 species